UUCAUCUGGCUUGAGUUCAACCUUAGGAACAAGGCUUGAGACUUGGAGUUGUGCUCACUUUGGAACUGAACCAGCAAUGGAGAGGAGCCGAUGCUGGCCAGAACAUGAGUCCUAUGCUCUGGGGAUGAUGAUUUUGGGCGGUUAUAAGUAGCUGGAAGCGUGAAGACUCAGCACCCAGGCCUCUCCGUAAGCCUGUGUAUUGGAGAUUCACAGGAAUGUUCCUGAAAGGCACACUCAGACGUGAGAGGCAGAUGGAUGUGUCCCAGGAG
rnacentral:lncRNA from 1 species